AUGCAGGUUUUUGGAACUCCUUCUUUGCACAGCUCCCUCCUCUUUGUGCUUUGCCCCACACACUGCAGCCCCUCCGCCUCUCCAAGGCCUUAUUUCUGGAUUUCUGGCUCAUCAGCGCAGGGAGAGCUCCCUCCUGUGAUAUCUGGAUUUCUCCUCCUGGAACUAUGGUCCAAAAGUCACCCCCAGGAAGAAAGCUGUAACAAACAAAAGGGUUUCGAGAUUCAGUCCUCAGAGGAAAGCUCAAGGGGAAAUGGAGAGGGUGGGAAGAGUGAGACUGAGUUGGCGGAACUCUGCUCUGCCGUUUAACGCUGCGGAGGGCGCCGUGCUGAUCUCCGGCCCACAGUGGCGCCAACCCCCGCGUCCUGGCUUCCUGCCCCCCGAACCGAUGAACCCACUCACUCGCUGAGGAGGCCUCCUACAAGCCGUGAUUCUGCACUUGGAACCCUGGGCUGGCGCCGCGGAUGCCCUCGGGCAGCCCAUCUUCCACGGUCUGCGUUUCACGCAGGGGAAGCCGAGGCUCGGAGGCGCCCAGGGCCUGCUUAGAGUUACAGUCGGAUGCGUUUGCGGCAGAGGCGAAGCUGAUUUUCUAACCUGUGAACUGACACUGGAGUCCCCGACAGAACUGGGCUGGGGCCGCUGACCGUCUAAAGCCUAAACAAGGAGAAGGGACUGAUUCCCAGGCAAUGGAGCUCAAACUCCAAGAAGGCAUCCUUGCGCCUGGGUGGGGGGAAGGCGGCUCCCAGCUACGUGCUUCUGCAAGAUCCCCCAAAGGGCUGCCACCCUCUGUUCCACUGAGAAAUUAAACUCCGGCUUCGCCACCACGCUGGCUUUUCCACUAGAACGCUGUUUUGCGAAAGAGCUGGCGCUUUGCUAGAUUUCUUUUUCCUUAAGGCAUUUGCUUGGCAUUUCCGGGUCCUUGAUCAACAGAGGAACAUGAAGGGACAAAUGAGAAGAGACGGGGAAAUUCCACAACCAACCACUUAGAAAUUCAAUCCAAAACUUCCAUUAUAGUCUAGACCCAGCCUUUGUUCCUGUGAAAAAACUGUGGAUGUGGAAUAUUUUGUAAUAUGCGUUUUCUAUGUAAUCACCCACAAAACAUUCUGAAUUAACGUAAUAGCAAAUAUCUGAGUAUUUACGCUGUGCUGUGUCCAUGUUUUAUGCGGAUAAAAUACUUUAUGGUUGCAU
rnacentral:lncRNA from 1 species